rnacentral:rRNA from 1 species
AUUGAACGCUGGCGGCAGGCCUAACACAUGCAAGUCGAACGAGUGGCGGACGGGUGAGUAAUGUCUGGGAAACUGCCUGAUGGAGGGGGAUAAAUACUGGCAACGGUAGCUAAUAACGCAUACCAUAGACUGUGCCCAGAUGGGCUUAGCUAGUAGGUGGGGUAACGGGUCACCUAGGCGACGAUCCCUAGCUGGUCUGAGAGGAUGACCAGCCACACUGGAACGGAGACACGGUCCAGACUCCUACGGGAGGCAGCAGUGGGGAAUAUGUCACAAUGGGCGCAAGCCUGAUGCAGCCAUGCCGCGUGUAUGAAGAAGGCCUUCGGGUUGUAAAGUACUUUCAGCGGGGAGGCGUGACCCGCAGAAGAAGCACCGGCUAACUCCGUGCCAGCAGCCGCGGUAAUUC